CUAUUAUCUUAGCAAUAUUGAAGUUCUUAUAUUUACGUACAUAGUAUUAAUUUGAUCGUAUCAACAAUAACACUAUCACUCACCAAUCUUGUGAGCCUCACCUAUGUCGUCGACCUCGCUGACAUUGCCGACCUUGUCGACCUCACCUACCUUGCCGACAUGAACAAUCUUGCCAACCUUGCUAAUCUUUUUGACCUCGUCCUUCCCAAUCUCGUUUGCCUCGCCAGCCUCAUCUUGCUGACCUUGUCGACCUCGUCGGCCUUACCGAUCCUAUUGUUUUCAAAACGAGCCACCCGGUCCAAUCCGGCCCGACCGACCACAGGUUGGCCACUUAGUGAACCCAACCCGG
rnacentral:lncRNA from 1 species